CCUACGGGCGGCAGCAGUGAGGAAUAUUGGUCAAUGGACGGAAGCCUGAACCAGCCAUGCCGCGUGCAGGAAGACGGCUCUAUGAGUUGUAAACUGCUUUUGUACAAGGGUAAACAUGAAUAUGUGUAUUCAGCUGACAGUACUGUAAGAAUAUGGAUCGGCUAACUCCGUGCCAGCAGCCGCGGUCAUACGGAGGAUCCAAGCGUUAUCCGGAUUUAUUGGGUUUAAAGGGUGCGUAGGCGGAUAGGUAAGUUAGUGGUGAAAUGUACGGGCUUAACAUGGGAACUGCCUCUGAUACUGUUGGUCUAGAGUGUAGGAGCGGUAGGCGGAAUGUCUGGUGUAGCGGUGAAAUGCUUAGAUAUCAUACAGAACACCGAUUGCGAAGGCAGCUUACCAAACUAUAUCUGACGUUGAGGCACGAAAGCGUGGGGAGCAAACAGGAUUAGAUACCCGAGUAGUC
rnacentral:rRNA from 1 species